ensembl:processed_transcript BC006965 uncharacterized LOC110305879
AUUCAAUGUCUGGAGCACGCGUCGGCCACUCCACCUCGGGCGCUCUGAAGCCGGCCGCAUGGAGACUGGGGGACGGUGGUAGGAUGGUCCUAGACCCCCUUCCCUCCAUUUCUGCAACCUUGGUGAAUUGAAAAGGGAUCAAUAUCCUUGGUCAGCGCUACUAUACCAGAUGGCCAAGGGACAGAGGAAAAAUGGCAGGGCAGACCCCCUUGGAUUUGCCCACGUGGAGUUUGGAUAUUUACCUGACUUCUUUGUCAAGUCUUGGGCCUGAUGCAGGUUGCAGAAGUAUGGCAACCGGUUCAUGUAUUAAACAGGCCAGGGGAGCUGUCACCACCGAAGGAAGGAGGGUGGUACUGACAGGACUGAUGGUAAUGAUGACAUCUAACGUACAUGGAGCAGCUCUGUCUGCCAGACACUAAGAGGAGAAUAAAGAGAUGGAGGCAGGAUAUGUCAAUGCCUGAUGGACCACCUUACAUCUGGGGAAGAGGGAUGCCUCUAGUGGGAUGAGAAGGGGAAGAGCAAAAUCCCAAGUCCAAAGGGCAUUCUGGAGGAAAUGAUUCUACUGGAGAGGCUCCAUGUGGCUCAUCCCUUACAAAGAGAAAUGUGCUGCUGCAGAUGGCGAGCUUGCUCAGCGGGGAAAGGUGCUAGCCAUCAAGCCCCAUGACCUCAGUUUGAUUCC